GUGCUUGCUUCAGCAGCAUAUAUAUUAAAACUGGAAUGAUAAAGAGAUUAGCACGGCCCCUGCACAAAGAUGACAUGCAAAUUCGUGUCAUAUUAAAAACAAGA